GCUGCGGGUGUCAUUGGGGUGACACGGGGUGGCAUUGAGGUGACAUGGGGUGACACAGGGUGACACGGGGUGACACGAGGUGACACGAGGUGACACGGGUGACACGGGGUGACACGGGGUGACACGAGGUGACACGGGGUGACACGGAUGACAGUCGCACCGUGGCUGCGGGUGUCACUGGGGUGACAUGGGGUGGCAUUGAGGUGACAUGGGCUGACACAGGGUGACAUGGGGUGACACGGGGUGACACGGGGUGACAGUUGCACCAUGGCCGUGGGUGUCGUUGGGGUGACAUGGGGUGACAUGGGCUGACACAGGGUGACAGGGGGUGACACAGGGUGACACAGGUGACACGGGGUGACACGGGUGACAGUCGCACCGUGGCUGCGGGUGUCGUUGGGGUGACACGGGGUGACAUGGGCUGACACAGGGUGACACGAGGUGACACGAGGUGACACGGGUGACAGUCGCACCGUGGCUGCGGGUGUCAUUGGGGUGACACGGGGUGGCAUUGAGGUGACAUGGGGUGACACAAGGUGACACAGGGUGACACGGGAGACACGGGGUGACACAGGGGUGACACAGGUGACAGUCGCACCGUGGCUGUGGGUGUCAUUGGGGUGGCAUAGGGUGACAUUGGGGUGACAUGGGCUGACACAAGGUGACACGGGGUGACAUGGGGUGACAGUCGCACCGUGGGUGCGGGUGUCAUUGGGGUGACAUGGGGCGGCAUUGAGGUGACAGAGGGUGACACAGGGUGACACGAGGUGACACGAGGUGACACUGGUGACAGUCGCACCGUGGCCGUGGGUGUCGUUGGGGUGACAUGGGCUGACACAAGGUGACAUGGGCUGACACGGGGUGACAUGGGGUGACAGUCGCACCAUGGCCGCGGGUGGCAUUGGGGUGACACGGGGUGACAUGGGCUGACACAGGGUGACACGGGGUGACACGGGGUGACAUGGGGUGACAGUCGCACCGUGGCUGCGGGUGUCAUUGGGGUGACACGGGGUGGCAUUGAGGUGACA
rnacentral:lncRNA from 1 species